GAUGAACGCUGGCGGCGUGCCUAAUGCAUGCAAGUCGAGCGAACGGACGAGAAGCUUGCUUCUCUGAUGUUAGCGGCGGACGGGUGAGUAACACGUGGAUAACCUACCUAUAAGACUGGGAUAACUUCGGGAAACCGGAGCUAAUACCGGAUAAUAUUUUGAACCGCAUGGUUCAAAAGUGAAAGACGGUCUUGCUGUCACUUAUAGAUGGAUCCGCGCUGCAUUAGCUAGUUGGUAAGGUAACGGCUUACCAAGGCAACGAUGCAUAGCCGACCUGAGAGGGUGAUCGGCCACACUGGAACUGAGACACGGUCCAGACUCCUACGGGAGGCAGCAGUAGGGAAUCUUCCGCAAUGGGCGAAAGCCUGACGGAGCAACGCCGCGUGAGUGAUGAAGGUCUUCGGAUCGUAAAACUCUGUUAUUAGGGAAGAACAUGUGUGUAAGUAACUGUGCACAUCUUGACGGUACCUAAUCAGAAAGCCACGGCUAACUACGUG
rnacentral:rRNA from 1 species